AACAAACACUACUUUUAUAUUUUUAGUGAUAAAAAUAUAAAAAUACUAAUUUUCUACCAAUUUAAGUUCUCGAAGAAUAAAAACUGUUUCAUUUAAUUUAGGGUAAACUUCAAAUACCACCCUUGUGGUUUCAUACGUUCUUACUUUAGUACCAUGUGGUUUAAAGUAUAUCAAUUUACUACCCCGUGGUUUCAUUUUUCUCUUUUCGUCAUCUCCUCCGUUAACAUUUUGUUAAAUUAUAUACAAAAAACUUCAGAUACUCCACUUAGGUUUAUCGAAUAUUCACUUUAGUACCUCUUUGUUUUAACUUUGUCACCGAUUUAACGAAAAAAAAUUAGUGGAGUAGAUAAUAAAAAGAGAAAAAGAAAACUACGAGGUACUAAAUUGAUACACUUUAAACAUCAAGGUAAUAAAAAAAAAAGUGCAAAACCACAUGGGUGGUAUUUGAUGUUUUUCCUUUAAUUUAAUAUAGCAUCAAAGAAGGAGGUUUUGAGUUCAAGUUUCACCAGGCACCUAGCAUAAUUAACUUUCUGCUAUUUAAUUUAAACUCAAGUCAUGAGCUUAUCAAGAAGUUUCGACCCUAGAUGUAAGGGAAGUGUUAAAUAUAAAAAUAUAAAAAAAUAUUGUUCUCUACCGGUUUAAGCUUUUGAAAAAUAAUAAUUAUUUACUGACCGUCCCUAGCGCAAGUGG
rnacentral:lncRNA from 1 species